UACGUAGGCAGCAAGCGUUGUUCGGAGUUACUGGGCGUAAAGAGUGCGUAGGUGGUGCCCUAAGUCUGUUGUGAAAUCUCCCGGCUUAACUGGGAGGGUGCGGUGGAAACUGGGGUGCUUGAGUGUGGGAGAGGUAAGCGGAAUUCCUGGUGUAGCGGUGAAAUGCGUAGAUAUCAGGAGGAACACCGGUGGCGAAGGCGGAUCUCUGGGCCUUACCUGACGCUCAGGUGCGAAAGCUAGGGGAGCGAACAGG
rnacentral:rRNA from 1 species